GGUUAAGCGACUAAGCGUACACGGUGAAUGCCCUGGCAGUCAGAGGCGAUGAAGGACGUGCUAAUCUGCGAUAAGCGUCGGUGAGGUGAUAUGAACCGUUAUAACCGGCGAUUUCCGAAUGGGGAAACCCAGUGUGUUUCGACACACUAUCAUUAACUGAAUCCAUAGGUUAAUGAGGCGAACCGGGGGAACUGAAACAUCUAAGUACCCCGAGGAAAAGAAAUCAACCGAGAUUCCCCCAGUAGCGGCGAGCGAACGGGGAGGAGCCCAGAGCCUGAAUCAGUGUGUGUGUUAGUGGAAGCGUCUGGAAAGGCGCGCGAUACAGGGUGACAGCCCCGUACACAAAAAUGCACAUAUUGUGAGCUCGAUGAGUAGGGCGGGACACGUGGUAUCCUGUCUGAAUAUGGGGGGACCAUCCUCCAAGGCUAAAUACUCCUGACUGACCGAUAGUGAACCAGUACCGUGAGGGAAAGGCGAAAAGAACCCCGGCGAGGGGAGUGAAAAAGAACCUGAAACCGUGUACGUACAAGCAGUGGGAGCCUCUUUAGUGGGGUGACUGCGUACCUUUUGUAUAAUGGGUCAGCGACUUAUAUUCUGUAGCAAGGUUAACCGAAUAGGGGAGCCGAAGGGAAACCGAGUCUUAACUGGGCGUUAAGUUGCAGGGUAUAGACCCGAAACCCGGUGAUCUAGCCAUGGGCAGGUUGAAGGUUGGGUAACACUAACUGGAGGACCGAACCGACUAAUGUUGAAAAAUUAGCGGAUGACUUGUGGCUGGGGGUGAAAGGCCAAUCAAACCGGGAGAUAGCUGGUUCUCCCCGAAAGCUAUUUAGGUAGCGCCUCGUGAAUUCAUCUCCGGGGGUAGAGCACUGUUUCGGCAAGGGGGUCAUCCCGACUUACCAACCCGAUGCAAACUGCGAAUACCGGAGAAUGUUAUCACGGGAGACACACGGCGGGUGCUAACGUCCGUCGUGAAGAGGGAAACAACCCAGACCGCCAGCUAAGGUCCCAAAGUCAUGGUUAAGUGGGAAACGAUGUGGGAAGGCCCAGACAGCCAGGAUGUUGGCUUAGAAGCAGCCAUCAUUUAAAGAAAGCGUAAUAGCUCACUGGUCGAGUCGGCCUGCGCGGAAGAUGUAACGGGGCUAAACCAUGCACCGAAGCUGCGGCAGCGACACUAUGUGUUGUUGGGUAGGGGAGCGUUCUGUAAGCCUGUGAAGGUGGCCUGUGAGGGUUGCUGGAGGUAUCAGAAGUGCGAAUGCUGACAUAAGUAACGAUAAAGCGGGUGAAAAGCCCGCUCGCCGGAAGACCAAGGGUUCCUGUCCAACGUUAAUCGGGGCAGGGUGAGUCGACCCCUAAGGCGAGGCCGAAAGGCGUAGUCGAUGGGAAACAGGUUAAUAUUCCUGUACUUGKUGUUACUGCGAAGGGGGGACGGAGAAGGCUAUGUUGGCCGGGCGACGGUUGUCCCGGUUUAAGCGUGUAGGCUGGUUUUCCAGGCAAAUCCGGAAAACCAAGGCUGAGGCGUGAUGACGAGGCACUACGGUGCUGAAGCGACAAAUGCCCUGCUUCCAGGAAAAGCCUCUAAGCAUCAGGUAACAUCAAAUCGUACCCCAAACCGACACAGGUGGUCAGGUAGAGAAUACCAAGGCGCUUGAGAGAACUCGGGUGAAGGAACUAGGCAAAAUGGUGCCGUAACUUCGGGAGAAGGCACGCUGAUAUGUAGGUGAAGCGACUUGCUCGUGGAGCUGAAAUCAGUCGAAGAUACCAGC
rnacentral:rRNA from 1 species